rnacentral:rRNA from 1 species
UACAGAGGGUGCGAGCGUUGUCCGGAAUCACUGGGCGUAAAGGGCGCGUAGGUGGCCUGGUAAGUAGGGGGUGAAAACUCGAGGCUUAACCUUGAGAUGUCAUCGGAAACCAUUUGGCUAGAGUCCGGAAGAGGAAAGUGGAAUUCCUGGUGUAGCGGUGAAAUGCGCAGAUAUCAGGAAGAACACCAAUGGCGAAAGCAGCUUUCUGGGACGGUACUGACGCUGAGACGCGAAAGCGUGGGGAGCGAACAGG